CUGAACUGGAGAAAGGUUCCAUGUGAACAGUAAUUGGACAUGGGUGAGUCGAUCCUAAGUGAUAGCAAAAUUGUUUUUGAAAGUAUAAUUUCCUUGGAAAUUAUCGGACAACGAAAGGGAAAAAGGUUAAUAUUCCUUUACCAGUACGUGGAUAAUGAACGGUAACGUAAGCGAAGUAUAGGACGCUUGUGGGAACU
rnacentral:rRNA from 14 species